AGAUCUUCAGUACCGUCUAGGGUUUUUCUAGGAGGCUUGCCCAUUUCUCAGAGUGCAUCCUUACUGGGAAGCAACGUGUGACCGCAAUUUAAGAAAACACACCUUCCUUCCGUUGUCACCCUCACCCUGUCACAGACAACUUCUAGGAAGGCUUCUGCAUGGUCAUUCCUGUUCUUUUUCUCACUGUCACCCUCCUCUGUUCCUCAGGGCACUCCAAGCUGGCCUGCUCCCACUAUUCCAAUGAAUCUGCGCUAGCUGAUGGCAAUGCCUAUUAAGACGAGACAUUUCUCCAUCUUCACCUCACUGAUUUCCUAGUAAAACUGAUGCAGGUGAUUGCCGUUUCUUGAAACGCUUUCCUUGCUUCCUACAGUUCUAUUUUCUCGUCAUGCUGCCAGCUCCUUUUGUUCCUCCCCUCUACACCCACCCAGCUGUCAGUCCAGAACCUUGGCAAUCAUCCCAAUUCUGCAUAUUUCACACACUCAACCCAACCCACCACCUUCCAACUCUCUCCACCUCUCCCUGCUCUAUUCUCUAUAAUUCAAGUAACCAAACAACUCUCCCUAGAUGCUGCAAACCAGCUGGGUUCACACGCUCUGUGCACAGUGGUCUCCAGAUCUGGUGCCUGAAAUUUCCCGCUCCCACUGUGUGAUUAGUCCUUCACCAUCCACCACUAGGAAAUCAGAACAUCGGUUCAUCUAGUUCAAGGGGCAAUGAAUGGUGCAAAACACAAUGAGGACCAGCCCCCAAAAAGUCCACACUUGCCAUACGACAAUCUGGACCCGAGGCAGAUUCUGUUUCCGGUUAUGAGUGAUGUCACUUCCCCUCUGGUUGCCUGGAGCUUUUAAGGACUGGCCAAAGUUCCAGAUCCCCUUACCCUCUUCCUCUUUGCAUCUUUUCUAGUUUAGUCUGGAGAAGAGCCUGGCAAGAGCCCCCAUCCCGCCACCCCACUCUGCAGCCAGGGGCUUGAAUAACUUGGGGGCAGAGGAAGGACCAUCCUGCGAGAGGAAAUGACUGGGGUGACAGAAUUGGAGUGACAAACAAGAAAGAAGGGUGGAAGAGAGUUGGGCCGAUGGAAGGGGUGGAUGCAGUGCGGGUGCAGAAGCGAUGAUGUGUAGUAGCCAGGACUUCAUGGCCAUAAAAUUGCCAGGGAUUGCGCGCAGGACCUCCUUGGCAGGUGCAACAAAUACCAUUGUUAAGAAGGCAGAGAAGGCAGCAGGAGAUCAGAGUCAUUGGCCUUUAUUUUGAAAAUGAGGAUCUCUUUUUAAGUACCUUGAAGGCACUUAAACAUAUUGUCACUCAUACCCAAAGAACAAAGCCACGAUCUCCUUUGCCUGGAUGUUGGACCAGGUUGCCAAAUAGGGCCUUCCUCCACACAGCCUGGACAUUCAGUUUUGCUUAGUUACUGUGUGGGCUUUUUAGCCUGAUGUUUUCUUUCUUUCUUUUAUGGAAGAGAGCAACAUAAGUUCGCCAGCUGCUGAGUUUGUGGAAUCAUUUUAUUUGGUACAACUUUCACAACUACUUGUGUCAGGUAGAGUGUGAAAACAUCUCUCAAGUACACUGUUCACCUAGCGAGCAUGCUGCCACACUCAGUUGCUGAAAGCCAAGAGGAACAAGCUUGAACGAUUAGCGCCAUCACCCCCGGACCUGGUUACCUGCCACAGUCUCCCAAUUUGGCAUCCCCAUUUGCAAGCUUGUAACCCACUUCCAACAUCCCAGUCCAUUCUCCACACGGCAGCAGCCAAAAUAUUUAAAAUUGAUACGUGCAAACCAGUGCUGUAGGAACUAAAUACAAAGUGUGCACAGCGGCUAAGUCCUGGAAGCAGCCUGCAUAUCCAUCAACAGAUGAUUAGAGAAAAUGUGGUACCUUUAUAUAAUGGAAUAUGACUCUGCUAUAGAGAGUGACAGAUUUGAGACGUUUGUGGAAAAACAGAUGCACCUGGAAAGUAUAAUGCGGAGUGAAAUAACAGACACACAAAGACCAUAUAGUAUCUCAUUUGAGUAGCACAAAGUACGAACAAAGAGCCCAGGGCAGGAUGACUAUAAGGAGACACGGGGACUGAGCUCUUGCAAAUGGGAAGGGGUCCAAGAGAAAGUGGGUUCUGAGAAGAGAGGGUGAGAGGAAGCGGAAAUAAGUAGAAUAAAGACGUGUUAUGCACAGGAACCUCAUAACCUCCGUGAACGUAAACAUGAGAUAAGAUUCGUACUGUCAUCAUUGCGUUUUCUUGUAUCUGUCUUCCUCUGUUUAUGGGCUGCCUCCUCCCUGUCCCUAACGCGAGCUCCACGGAAGCCCAGAUCUGGCCUCUCUUGUGCGUGGCCAUGUCACCAGGGUGCCCACCAGGCUCCGUGCUGCACCGAUGAACAUCAGCGCGUGGAGACUCUUGGCCCCUGCGUUGUUACGCUCUCAUCUCAGAUACCUGGGGACGGGGAGGCUGGGAAAGCUCAGGGGAGCAAAUGGCAGCUAGAGGAGACCCCAAGCACAUGGCAUGGGCAAGGACAUGUGGGGAGAGGCCGGAGAAACACUUGGGGUGGGACGGUUGGAGGUGAAGGAAAGUGAGGGCGAUGUGGAACAGAUCUAAGAUACGUUCCACCGGUCUUAAAGCUUGCACACGAGAGCACCUGUUUCUGUCUGUCUGUCUGUCUGUCUGUCCGUCUGUCAUCUCUCCAGGAGGCAGAGUGGUGUGUCUCAGCAUUGGCCAUGAACUUGCUGGGCCUCGUUGUGGCGCAGGGGCCUAGGUGGGGCUGUGUCACCCUGAAGACCCCAAGGCCCAUCACAUUAUCACUCAGGACGUGAGGCUGCAGCCGGAGAAAGCACAGUGGCUCCGGACAGAAGGAAGCCGGGAAGCGAUGGUUCUGCAUCGGUUGUGACUCAUCAAGUGCUGCAGUGCAAACCAGCGCGCUUCCCCGGGAGACGCAGCACACGCGAGUCAGGCCUCUGUGCCCGGCCCCUGAUGAGAAGGGCUUAGCUCCUCGAGGAGUCAGCGCUCCAUAAACAGCCCCGGAUGUGGCUGCUAAUGGUUUGCGGCCUUCCUGCCUCGGAGCAUCUGCUGAGCUGUCUGGUGAAGGCCGAGGUCGACCAGGUCCUUCCCGCUCCUGCCUCCUCCAUUUUGAUAACUCCCUAGCGCCUCGGGUCAUCGACCUUUCCGGUCACCAUUGGUUUUGCUAAGAGGGGAAAAGCGAGGUGGAACAGCUACUCCGAGUGGUCGGAAAACAAAACAAACUGCCAGUUAACAGGGUUAGGGUGAGGGGACCCCUUGACAGUUCUUGCUGGCGACAUUGCUCCACGUGUCUUCUGCCUUAGCUGAGCGAGAUUCACUGAGUCAUCCUGACGCUACUACUACUGUUCUGUGGAGCCCAUGACGAAGACUGACCCAAAGGUGAGAGUAGCAUUCUUUGUCAGAGAGAAAGGAGCACAAGGUAACGGAGGCUGUUUCAGUUUGGAUUCCCUAGACCAGAUCCAGAAGCCCCGCCUGAACUCUUCCCUGCUGCCGAGAGGUGAGCAGCAUUCUUCUGCCUCACCCUUCUUCCACCACCACGUUUCUGGCCCAGAACCACCCAUCCAUGGACUGAAGUUUCCAAAGCCGUGAGCCUAAAUAAACCUCUCCUCCUGCCAGUUAUCUUUGUCAGCAUCUUGUCC